rnacentral:rRNA from 1 species
GAAGAUUAAACUGUCUCUUAUAAUUAACCUAUGAAACUGAUCUUGUAGUCCAAAAGCUGCGAUAAAUACACCAGACGAGAAGACCCUGUGGAGCUUCUAAACCCAAACCAAACUAUGGCCCUUAGGUUUUUAGUUGGGGCAACUUCGGAGCAUACAUUAACCUCCGAUAAAACACAAUCUNGACUAACAAGUCAAAACAAUCUCAUGACCCAAUAGUUUAAUAUAAACUAUUUGACCAAUGAACCAAGUUACCCCAGGGAUAACAGCGCUAUCCCCUUUUAGAGUCCCUAUCGACAAGGGGGCUUACGACCUCGAUGUUGGAUCAGGACACCCAAAUAAUGCAACCGUUAUUAAAGGUUCGUUUGUUCAACGAUUAAAGUCCUACGUGAUCUGAGUU